GAUGAAGAACGCAGCGCAAUGCGAUAAGUAAUGUGAAUUGCAGAAUUCAGUGAAUCAUCGAAUCUUUGAACGCACAUUGCGCCCGCCAGCAUUCUGGCGGGCAUGCCUGUUCGAGCGUCAUUUCAACCCUCGAGCCCCCCCGGGGGCCUCGGUGUUGGGGGACGGCACACCAGCCGCCCCCGAAAUGCAGUGGCGACCCCGCCGCAGCCUCCCCUGCGUAGUAGCACACACCUCGCACCGGAGCGCGGAGGCGGUCACGCCGUAAAACGCCCAACUUUCUUAGAGUUGACCUCGGAUCAGGUAGGAAUACCCGCUGAACUUAAGCAUAUCAAUAAGCGGAGGA
rnacentral:misc_RNA from 1 species